UACCUCAUUAUUGCAAUGCAUGCUAACCAUAGCAAACCGAAACACAUCUUCUUCUUCUUUGCUAAUAAAGCAGGAUCCUAAAAAAAGAAAACCUUCAGCAAUCUGCCACGUGGCAAUAGUCCCCUUAAUUUUUCAAAACUACCCCACCGAAAAAUUGACCAUCCAAAAUUUCUCACAUUCAUUCAGUUAUUCUUAAUUCUUUUUGGUUGUACAAAGAAUCAAACAGCAUCGAAGUUGUACUAGAAUCAAAGAUUAUUUCAUUGCAAGGAAUGAAGAUUCAAGCUACUAUUAGAUAGAACUUAUUUUUUCAGCUUGGUGCCUUAAAAGAAACA